rnacentral:rRNA from 1 species
UACGAAGGGGGCUAGCGUUGUUCGGAAUUACUGGGCGUAAAGCGCACGUAGGCGGAUUUGUAAGUCAGGGGUGAAAUCCCGGGGCUCAACCUCGGAACUGCCUUUGAUACUGCAAGUCUUGAGUCCGGAAGAGGUGAGUGGAAUUCCUAGUGUAGAGGUGAAAUUCGUAGAUAUUAGGAAGAACACCGGUGGCGAAGGCGGCUCACUGGCUCGUUUCUGACGCUCAGGCGCGAUAGCGUGGGGAUCAAACAGG